rnacentral:rRNA from 1 species
AAUGAACGCUGGCGGCAUGCCUAACACAUGCAAGUCGAACGAGUGGCGGACGGGUGAGUCAUGUCUGGGAAACUGCCUUAUGGAGGGGGAUAACUACUGGAAACGGUAACUAAAACCGCAUACCCUCGGAUGUGCCCAUAUGGGAUUAGCUAGUAGGUGGGGUAAAGGCUCACCUAGGCGACGAUCCCUAGCUGGUCUGAGAGGAUGACCAGCCACACUGGAACUGAGACACGGUCCAGACUCCUACGGGAGGCAGCAGUGGGGAAUAUGUCACAAUGGGCGAAAGCCUGAUGCAGCCAUGCCGCGUGUAUGAUGAAGGCCUUCGGGUUGUAAAGUUCUUUGAGCGGGGAGGCGUUACCCACAGAAGAAGCACCGGCUAACUCCGUGCCAGCAGCCGCGGUAAUUC